GGGGGGGGCAAGCGUUGUUCAGAAUUACUGGGCGUAAAGGGCUCGUAGGUGGCCAACUAAGUCAGACGUGAAAUCCCUCGGCUUAACCGGGGAACUGCGUCUGAUACUGGAUGGCUUGAGUUCGGGAGAGGGAUGCGGAAUUCCAGGUGUAGCGGUGAAAUGCGUAGAUAUCUGGAGGAACACCGGUGGCGAAGGCGGCAUCCUGGACCGACACUGACACUGAGGAGCGAAAGCCAGGGGAGCAAACGGGAUUAGAUACCCCGGUAGUCCUGGCCCUAAACGAUGAAUGCUUGGUGUGGCGGGUAUCGAUCCCUGCCGUGCCGAAGCUAACGCAUUAAGCAUUCCGCCUGGGGAGUACGGUCGCAAGGCUG
rnacentral:rRNA from 1 species